rnacentral:rRNA from 1 species
GACGAACGCUGGCGGCGUGCUUAACACAUGCAAGUCGAACGGAAAGGCCCUGCUUUUGUGGGGUGCUCGAGUGGCGAACGGGUGAGUAACACGUGAGUAACCUGCCCUUGACUUUGGGAUAACUUCAGGAAACUGGGUCUAAUACCGGAUAGGAGCUCCUGCUGCAUGGUGGGGGUUGGAAAGUUUCGGCGGUUGGGGAUGGUCUCGCGGCUUAUCAGCUUGUUUGUGUGGUAGUGGCUUACCAAGGCUUUGACGGGUAGCCGGCCUGAGAGGGGUACCGGCCACAAGGGGACUGAGAUACGGCCCAGACGCGUACGGGAGGCAGCAGUGGGGAAUAUUGCACAAUGGGCGGAAGCCUGAGGCAGCAACGCCGGGUGCGGGAUAACGGCCUUCGGGUUGUAAACCGAUUUCGCAUGUGACGAAGCGUGAGUGACGGUAAUGGGUAAAGAAGCAACGGCUAACUACGUG